AUACGGAGGGUGCAAGCGUUGUUCGGAAUCACUGGGCGUAAAGGGCGCGCAGGCGGUUUGUUAAGUCAGAUGUGAAAGCCCACGGCUCAACCGUGGAAGUGCAUUUGAAACUGGCAGACUUGAGUACCAGAGGGGGGAGUGGAAUUCCCGGUGUAGAGGUGAAAUUCGUAGAUAUCGGGAGGAAUACCGGUGGCGAAGGCGACUUCCUGGCUGGAUACUGACGCUGAGGCGCGAAAGCGUGGGGAGCAAACAGGAUUAGAUACCCUAGUAGUCC
rnacentral:rRNA from 1 species